rfam:Pristionchus pacificus strain PS312 contig3907, whole genome shotgun sequence.
UCUUAAUUUCCCACACUCUCUCACCGGUCAGAGAUGCGAGAGAGUACGUGAAAUGAAGAGA